rnacentral:rRNA from 1 species
CAAGCUAAUAAGGGUGUACGAUGGAUGCCCUGGUGAAGACUGGCGAUGAAGGGCGUGGCAAUCUGCGAUAAGCCCCGGUGAGGUGAAAGCAACCUUUGACCCGGGGAUUCCCGAAUGGGGCAACCCAUCCAUCGAGAGAUGGAUAUCCUGUCUUAAGGCAGGAGGCUAACCGAGGGAAGUGAACCAUCUCAGUACCUCGAGGAAAAGAAAAAAUUUUGAUUCCCUGAGUAGCGGCGAGCGAAAUGGGAAGAGCCUAAACCGAAUGAUGUUAUAGCAUAGCCGCGUUCAUCAUUCGGGGUUGUAGGACCAGACAUGGAAGUGGCUAUACUUCCAACAUGAUAUAACCUUUUAGGUUAGUUGAAUGAUCUUGAAAGAUCAGCCAUAGAAGGUGAAAGCCCUGUAGACAAAAACUUAAAAGGCAUGUGUCUGGCACCUGAGUACCACGGAGGAACCGAGGAGCUCUGUGGGAAUCCGCCACGACCACGUGGCAAGGCUAAAUACACGUCUUCAACCGAUAGUGAACAAGUACCGUGAGGGAAAGGUGAAAAGAACCCCGGGAGGGGAGUGAAAUAGAACCUGAAAUCGUGCACCUACAAGCAGUCGGAGUCCGUCGGAAGCAGUUCUGGCGGAUGACGGCGUGCCUAUUGAAGAAUGAGCCAGCGAGUUACUAGCGGUAGCGAGGUUAAUCCACAUAAGUGGAGGAGCCGCAGCGAAAGCGAGUGGUGCCAAUAGCGCCCAUUAGUUAUCGUUAGUAGACCCGAAGCCAGGUGAUCUAUCCAUGGGCAGGAUGAGCCCUCCGUAACAGGGGGGGGAGGUCCGAACCGGUGACAGUUGCAAAUGUCUCGGAUGACCUGUGGAUCGGAGUGAAAGGCUAAUCAAACCUGGUUAUUGCUGGUUCUCCCCGAAAUGACUUUAGGGUCAGCCUCGGUUAAUAGAAUUGUGGAGGUAAAGCACUGACUGGGCAAGGUUUGAUUCCAUCAGACCAAGUCCUAUCAAACUCUGAAUUCCGCAAUUUGUUUUCCGGGAGUGAGACUGUGAGGGCUAAGCUUCAUAGUCAAGAGGGAUUCAGCCCAGACCAUCAGUUAAGGCCCCUAAAUCCAGGCUAAGUGUCGAAGGAUGUGGGGUUACAUAGACAACCAGGAGGUUGGCUUAGAAGCAGCCAUCCUUUAAAGAAAGCGUAACAGCUCACUGGUCGAUGUGACCCUGCGCCUAAAAUUCAACGGGGCUCAAGCCUGGUGCCGAAACUAUGGUUCGGUUAGCUUAAUGCUAACCGGAGGUAGGGGAGCAUUCCCAGCGGUUGAAGCCGUUUCGUAAGGAACGGUGGACGUAUGGGAAGAGAGAAUGCUGGCAUGAGUAGCGAAAAUUUCGAUGAGAAUUCGGAACGCCGAAAGUCCAAGGUUUCCUGGGGAAGGUUCGUCCACCCAGGGUUAGGCGGGAGCUAAGUCGAGGCCGAAAGGCGUAGAUGAUGCACAGCCGGUCAAUAUUCCGGCCCUAUCUGAUAUGCGUUAUCACUGAAGGGGGGACGGAGUACAAUAGAACAUCCGGUUUCUGGAUAUACCGGUUUAAUGUGUAAGGUUGAACCUGUGGCAAACCCAUUGGUUCUUAAGACCGAGCACAGAAUACGAGUCUUUCUGCAAGGAAAGGCGAAGUGUUCGAAUUGUACUUCCAAGAAAAUCCUCGUAGGGAGUAUGUCAGGUACCCGUACCGCAAACCGACACAGGUGGACUGGGAGAAUAUCCUAAGGCGCGCGAGUGAGCCCUUGCUAAGGAACUCGGCAAAAUAACCCCGUAACUUCGGGAUAAGGGGUGCCUGAGUAAGAUUGGGUUUAACCAUAAUCUGGUCUGAAAAGGCCGCAGUGAAAUGGAUGCCACGACUGUUUACCAAAAACAUAGGACUCUGCAAACUCGAAAGAGAAUGUAUAGGGUCUGACAAGUGCCCGGUGCCGGAAGGUUACGGAGAGGUGUCAACUGCCGUAAGGCGGUGAAGCACUGAACCUAAGCCCCGGUAAACGGCGGCCGUAACUAUAACGGUCCUAAGGUAGCGAAAUUCCUUGUCGGGUAAGUUCCGACCUGCACGAAUCUUGUAACGAUGGCAUCGCUGUCUCGGCGAGGGGCUCGGCGAAAUUGUGAUACCCGCGAAGACUCGGGUUAACCGCGACAAGACGAAAAGACCCCGGAACCUUUACUAUACUCUGACAUUGGAUUUUAAAAUAUUAUGUGUAGAAUAGGUGGGAGGCUUUGAAGCCCUGACGCCAGUCAGGGUGGAGCCAACAGUGAAAUACCACUCUUAAUAUUUUGAAAUCCUAACCUCGUUCCGUGAAACCGGACCUGGAACAGUGUCAGACGGGUAGUUUGACUGGGGCGGUCGCCUCCUAAACGAUAACGGAGGCGCCCAAAGGUUCCCUCAGGCUGUUUGGCAAUCAGCCGGCGAGUGUAAAGGCACAAGGGAGCUUAACUGUGAGACAGACAUGUCGAGCAGAAGCGAAAGCUGGGCUUAGUGAUCCGGUGGUACUGAGUGGAAAGGCCAUCGCUCAACGGAUAAAAGGUACUCCGGGGAUAACAGGCUGAUCGGGUCCGAGAGUUCACAUCGACGACCCGGUUUGGCACCUCGAUGUCGGCUCAUCGCAUCCUGGGGCUGGAGCAGGUCCCAAGGGUUGGUCUGUUCGCCCAUUAAAGCGGUACGUGAGCUGGGUUCAGAACGUCGUGAGACAGUUCGGUCUCUAUCUGUCGUGGUCGCAGGAGAUUUGAAGGGGCUCUGCCCGUAGUACGAGAGGACCCGGGUGGACGAACCUCUGGUGUCUCAGUUGUUCCACCAGGAGCAAUUGCUGAGUAGCCAUGUUCGGAAGGGAUAAGCGCUGAAAGCAUCUAAGUGCGAAGCCUACCCCAAGAUUAGAUCUCCCUCCUGGUAGCAAUAUCAGGACCAAGACUCCAGGUAGACUACCUGGUUGAUAGGCCUCGAGUGUAAGGCCCGUAAGGGUUUAAGCUGAGAGGUACUAAUAGUCGAGCGGCUUG